rnacentral:siRNA from 1 species
AUAGUACCCGAGAAUGAUGAG